rnacentral:rRNA from 1 species
UACGUAGGGGGCAAGCGUUGUCCGGAAUCAUUGGGCGUAAAGAGCGCGUAGGCGGCCCGGUAAGUCCGCUGUGAAAGUCAAGGGCUCAACCCUUGAAUGCCGGUGGAUACUGUCGGGCUAGAGUCCGGAAGAGGAGAAUGGAAUUCCCGGUGUAGCGGUGAAAUGCGCAGAUAUCGGGAAGAACACCCGUGGCGAAGGCGGUUCUCUGGGACGGUACUGACGCUGAGACGCGAAAGCGUGGGGAGCGAACAGG